UAGGGAAUCUUCCACAAUGGACGAAAGUCUGAUGGAGCAACGCCGCGUGAGUGAAGAAGGGUUUCGGCUCGUAAAACUCUGUUAGUUAAAGAAGAACAUAUCUGAGAGUAACUGUUCAGGUAUUGACGGUAUUUAACCAGAAAGCCACGGCUAACUACGUGCCAA
rnacentral:rRNA from 1 species